AAUUAAAAUACAUGUAGAUUUUUUUUGAAGCUGUUUUUAAGACUUGUGAAAGAAUUAAUUCAUUAAUUCAUCAAAUGAUUCAUUCAGCAAUAUUCAGUGAACAUUAUUUUAUAUGCCAGGGACUAAUCCAGGCUCUGGGACAUACAUCUAGAAUAAGGCAGACAAAAUCUCUGCUCAUAUAUAAAAGUGAGCAGCUGCAUAGAAAUGGGAGAUGAAUGAACCAGUGUCACUAAUGUUCACACUAAUUCCUGUUGAGAGGGCAUGUCAAGGAGAGAUCUGGGGUGAGGAUCCCAGCAGAGAAAACACAAAGAGCAAGGUUCCUGAACUUGGAGUGUACUUGGCUUUUUCCAUAGAAAGUAGGAAUCCAGUUUUGCUGAAGGAGAGCAAGGCAAUGAAAAAGCAUGGGAGACUGCUACAGCAUCAGGCUUUGAAACUCAUUACAAAGACUGUCUCUGCAACUUGAUCCAUGCUUUCCUCCCAAGCUUCCAUGCCAUUCUUAACUCUCAUGUUUGUGUUUCCUUGCACCUGUGUGGUACAAUAUGGUAGCCAUUAGUCCUAUGUGGCUAUUGAGAAUGUGGAAUGUGGCUAAUUUAAAUAGACAGUAUGAAAAAUAUAAUGUAUCUCAAUAAUUUUAAAUUGUUUCAUAUAUUAUAAUGAAAAUAUGUUGAUGUUGAUUAAAUAAGAUAAAAUCCAUUUCAUCUGCAUUUUUCUUAGAGUUGAUGUUUAUAUUUUGAGAUAACUCUAGGUAUAACAAAUAAUACAGAAAAAAUUCUGUGUACCUUUUAUCUAUUUUUUAUUCAAUCAUAAUACUUUGAAAAUCUAUAGUCACAUUAUUGCUAUUAAGAUGUUGACAUGGCACAAUCUUAUAUUUCUCAGUUCUAAUUGUACAUUUUGUGUGUUUUUUAGUUUUAUACAAUUUUAUUACAAGUGUAAGAUUUUGUAUCAACCAUCACAUCAAAGUACAGAAGUUUGUUCAUCACAAACAUCCUUUGUAUUGCCUUUUUAGCACCACUUUUCCCUCCUUUCGGUGUCUUGUCCUCUCAUUCCUGAUCUAACAACCAGUAGUUCUUUCUUUCUUUCUUUCUUUUUUUUUUUUUUUUUGAGGAUUGUCCCAUGGUAUGGAUGUAACAGUUUUCUUUUAACAGUGAAGAAUAGCUGUGCUGUGUUGCUUCUACAUUUUGCCAUUGGGAAUAAAGCAGCCAAAAACAUUCCUGUAUGUGAUUUGUGCACAUGAAUGUAAUUUUUAUUUAUCUGGGGUAAAUGAUUAAGAGGGUACUUUCUGGGGUGCAGGGUAACUGCAUAUUUAGUUUUAUAAGAUACAGAAAUUCUGUUCUAGUAUGGCUGUAUUUUCUAUUUUCUUUUUAAAAAAUACGUUUACUAGAAAAUGUAGUUUCUUAUGUAAUUGUUCACAGUUCUCUCAGGCAAUGCUAGUUUGGCUUGUAGUACUGACUUGUUCUCCUCUUCAGGUGUUUCUCAUGAACCUUUCUAUCAAGACCAUUUUCACUAUCCCCUCACAAAUGUGCAUAAAUGUCUGUAGGGCAGUUGUUAAGAAAAAAAAUCCAGAUGGUCUGGAUAUGGAUCUUUGACAUAUAUCUUACUAGCUGUAUAUUGUGGUAAAGUUGUGUGAAGAUAUUGAAUGCCUUUGCUUUUCAGUUUUCUAAUCUGGGAAUGAGUUAUUAUAGCAGUAUUGAUCUGAUUGGGCUGGUUUGGUGAUUGAGUUAGCAUAUAUGAGUUAUUUUCUAUCAAUACCCUGCUGAACUCCUCCAGAAGAACAGGACUAAAUCCUCUCAUAGACUUCCAUUGUAGCCAGCAUCCUGAUAAAAUUGUAAUUAUAUGAUUAUCUCGUAUCUUUGCUACUAGACUGUAAGCACCUAUGAGGGUAGUGCCCUCAUCUGUCUGAUUUAGUGCAAUACUCUCAGUGAGGACACAGAACUGGUGAAGAUGAGGCGCUUGAGGAUCACUGUAGAGUGAAUGAGUGAAUGAAUAAAGGACAAAUUCCUUCAAUGUAAGCAGCAUUUACUUGUAAUUUACUUAAAGUAUUAUUUAAUUUAAUUUGUUUUCCUUAAUUUAAAAAGCCAUAUAUUAAGUUUUUAACUGUCAGUUGUAUAAUUGAUUUUUAUAUGAGAAUUUUAUGUAUGAAGUGUGAUAAAAUAUGGUGAAUGUUUAAAUUAAUAAAUUAUUAAAAUAAAGAAAAUAUUGCCAUUAAUCUUCCUCAAAAUAGCCACCCCUUCCUUGCACACACUUAUGCCAUUAUUCUUGUGACUUUCUGAAGCAGUUCUAGAAAUCUUUUUGAAGAAGACCCAAAUGUUCAGUAGGUAACUUUGACAUUGAAGUACUCCUUUAUACCUCUGUUCAUAAUUUUAUCUCAACAAUACAAUUAUUUUAAAAUCUUAAUUAGAUAAAGUCUAUGGCAUUCUUAAGGAACUCAAAAAAACAUGGCAUAGUGGGAGGGGAAGGGGAAAGGAGAGAAGAGAAAGGAAAAAUUAUGAGAAGAGAAAAAAAUUGUAACAAAGUCUAUGUAAAUAGGGAAGGGUGGAGUGGGUGAAGGGCGCACAGGUAAUAGGGGAAAAAAUAAGAACUAAGAUGCAACAAGUUCAGGUACAAGCACCCAAUGAUAAAUGUAAAUGUAUUGUAUACCUAAAAUGUACCAGUAAAAUAUUUAAGAAAAAAAAAUGGCAUAACAUAGAUGAUUUUUAUUUACCCACUCUGUUUAAAAUUGGAACUCUGCACCAAUGAUCACUAUCAAUAGCACUUAGACACACACACAUUUUGUCAUUAUCCACCUUUAUUUUUUUCAUUUAUUGAGGAUGGUUACUAUGGUAGAAAAACUGAUGUACAGUUGCUUUGACCUAAAGUAAUUGAGACUCAUGGUUACCAUUUUAUUAUGUCUGUGGCCUUAAAACAACCAUUUAACAUGUUUCAUGCUUCAUUUUAUUUGACAUGUAAUAGGAAUGAAACCUGGGGGAAUUACAUUUCCAUAAUUGAAUGGUACCAGGCCAUGUGCCAGUUUUCAGGCAACUAUCAUUAGACCCAUUUUAUAUAUUGGGCAGGUUGAGUGUCUAAAUGUAAUAUAACUUCACACAGUUACGUGGUAAAAUUAUACAACAAAACAAUGGUUUCUAAUUUCAAACUAAUCUAACUGUCUUCUCUCCACUGACGUACUAUAUUUGAGCUCAAAUUUAUACUUAAGCAUAGCAAAUUGCAAAAGAAAGAUUAUGGUACUUGUUUCCUCCUCUGAUUAUUUACUUUGUACCCAGUGCUAUAUUAAAUAAUUCACCGGGAUUAUUUUAUUUUGGUAUGGAAACACAGACAACUACUACAAUUGUACUGAUUUUACCUUUGAGAAAACAGACUAAGAGAAAUUAAAUUAGUGGCUCAAGAUGAGUUAGUAAUUAUUUGAAAAAAGGAUAUAAAUCUGUGUAAUGUGAGAGUUUAGCCCUUUCCUAGUGACGUGCAUUGCUCUUGUUUUCACUAAUUUAAGUUGAUGAUGUAAAAGCUGGCAUUCCCUUUUGUUUUGUGUAGUUUAUAUUCUUCAAUAUGUUUCACUCACAUACAGUGUGGUAAAAUGAACUCAUAUUCUCUCUUUUCUACGCAUUUAUAUUUAUUGUGUUUCUAUGACUUUUAUAAAUAAAUCAGACCGUAACGACAACAAACCUUUGGCUGAAUUCAAUAAUUCUGGCUCCUCCCAUUCUCUCAUUGCAACCCAUGGACUUUAAAGUUCAUUAUGAGGAUCUGUAUGCCAAUAAUAUUUUAAAUUUUUAUGAGCAUGUAAUUCCAGAAUUAGAUAAGAAAAUAUAUUAUAUUUUAGAAAAAUCACUUUACCACAUUUUAAUACAUCUGUGUACGACUCAUAAGUAGUUUCUAGAAUAACAGUAUUACAUAGAUGAUUUUUUCUACUUAAAUAUUAAAUCCUUACUUAAUGAUUACUGUUAGUUUGGCCACUUGUGCAUAUUACACAAGACUGUGUUUGAAAUUUUCAGUGUUCCCUCUCCUAUAUAUUAUUCCAUGCAGUUGUUUUUGUAUGCAAAUUGUUGCUUUUUAGGACCACUUUGCCUUUAUGUGUUGCUAUUUUAUUGUUGCUGUACUUAAUUGAACGUUCCAAUUGUGUAAAGAGGAAGAGUUCUUUAAACUUGAAACAUUUGCUUCAAACAGUAUGAAGAUAAUGUAUGUAUUAUUUAUUUACUUUCAUUUCUCUAAAAUAUCAACUUUGAUUAAUAAUUAUAUACAGGCUUUGUUCUUCUUAUCUGGGUGUCAACAGUAAUUGGAAUCCAUAUCCAUAUCCUACCUUGCAAUCAUGCUACAAAAGGCCAAUAAAUUCCCGCUGAGUGUGUUACUUGUUAAAUUUAGUGCCUUACAUUCAGGGUAAUGAAUAAAAGCAGUGGGCCGUUACCGUCUGUCUGGCUGAGGAAGGCUAGAAUAGCCAGACUCCCCUGAGGCUUUGAGGCAGCUUGAAAACAGUGACAGGCAGAAUCAAGGGAGUCUCGGAGCAUCACACUUCGGUUUGUCUCCCUUAAUUUCCUCUUCUGUAGAGACUCAGGCUGGAAGGAUGUGAGGCAGUCUUAUCCAUUAAUUCACCACACUUUCAUAAAAUGCUGCAUUCUCUGGUUUAUUAAGAAGCGAAUACAGUUUGGAUAAAUAGAUAUGUAUUUACACUGAGCACGGAGAUGAGAAUACUAGGGAGUAUAAACUAGUAGCUAUGCCUCGAUGCAGUUCACUCUGUAUAUCUACAUAUGCCCAUUGUGUAUUCAUUUGUGUGUAUCAAAAUGCUUAUGGGUAUUUUCAUAUGAGUGAACAACCAAUGAAGCAAACCCCAUAGAAAUAUGUAUCAACUUAUUUCCAUCUCAUAUCUAUUUAUUAUACAUAAGCAGUUAUUGAAAAAGUGAUACCAACAUUCUUAAGGUCACUUGCUCUUUAAUAAAUAUAUUCAUCAUAAAAAAAACCCUGUGUCUUAAACUAUAAUAAAAAUUUUACUUGUGUUGUAAGUACAACAAAUACAAGGGUAUUAGAGCAUCCUGUUCUACAUUCCUAGUUCAAUGUGUUUUCUUGAUUCUUUAACAAGUUUUUAUUCUCCACGCCUGAUAAUUGUUACACAUUGUUUCCUGCCAAGUUUCCUGGCUCAUUUAGUACUUUGAGUUAUUGUGAAUAUUAAUGUCAAUUAGAAAUAAACUAGAUACUUAAAGAAAGAAAGAACAUUAAAACAUUUAAAUGAAAUGACCUCUUUUAGUAUUAUUGAAUGUGUUGGAAAAUGUAGUAUAGAAUGACGUUUGCUGGUUCCAAGUAACAUGAUGUAUCUCAUUAAAGAUACUAGAUAUCAUUUUGCAACAUAUACAUGAGAUCAUUAAGGCAACAUUAUCUCAAUGAGAUAAGUAAAACAUACAUGAAAUUCAACAUUCUUCUGCUUGAAAGAAUUUCUAAAAUUGAAUGAAAGGAAUUAAUAAUCACUGUUUAUUGAAAGACGAUGCAAAUCAGUCAGGAAUCUUUGACAUGUAAUGGGAAAGUAUCAAAAGAUGAUAGGAUUAUUUCUGUUGGAGAUAAACAUGAACUUGCUGAACAAAUAUUUUUUUCCAAUACAGAUAAAUUGCUUUCUAAACAUAAUAAAACCAGUAUCUGUUUUGGCACUUCUGCUAUAUAAGAGAUUCUCAAACUGGGCCGGGGAUUUAGCUCAGUGGUUCCACGCCACCUUCCUCUCAAGAGCAAGGUCCCGAGUUCGAUCCUCAGUACCAAAAAAAAUAAAAUAAAAUAAAGAGAGAGAGAGAGAGAUUCUCAAACUACAGAGUGUAAGAGAAUCACAGAAAUAACUUGAUAAAGCAAAGGUAGCUGGCCCCAAACCUCAAAGUUUCCCAUUCAGUAGCCUGGGUAAAGUAUAAUAAUUUGCAUUUUUAAAAUUCUCAAAUGACAUUGAUAUUAUUGAUCCAGGUGCACUAUAUGAGAAUGACUGAAGUAUGUGAAAAUCACUGAAGCAAACAUUUAUCUCAUAUUAAUUAUCUUCUUGAAUGCUUUCUGUAGAAGGAAGGCUCAAGUAUCUAUUGUACUUGAUACUUUCCAACCAAAUUAUAUAUCUUUGAAAUAUGAGAUUCUUUUACAAAGAAACUUAUCCUCAAAUCAUAUGUAAGGUUAUCUGCCUCUAAAGUUCAUUGGACACCCUUAUAAACUAGAUAAACAAUAAAAUGAAUAGAUAUUAGAAGUUUUAUAAUUUGCCUACAAAGAAAGAGGCCAAAAAUUUAUGUUUUAGCUCUGUAAUACUAAUUUGGCUUACUUUUAUCUAUAGACUUUAUCAGGGAGAUUUGGAUUUAACUGGUCUGAUGCGUGGUCAGGAUCUUUACCAAAUAUCCCCAUUUAUGCAUCUGAGUUUGAGAGCAAUGUUUACAGUUAUUUACAGGUGAAUCAACUGAAGGGAUAAUAACAAUAAAAUGAGAGUAUUCAUCACAUAUCCCAAGAGUAUUAACACAUGGGAAAUCAUGAAGUUUCUAUUCCCAUUGGUGUGUAUUUGUGUGUUUUUGACUGUGCAAAGAUCAAGCAAUCAGCAUGAAAGGGAAUCUAUGCAUUUACCAUAGUCUUGGGGGUAAUACAUGCUUAGAGAAGCAAUGCUUAUUAUGGGGACUGGAGUUACAAUUGGUUCAGAUUCUUAUUUUUUUUUUCUCAUAUUUUCAUGCAAUGGUUUCUUAAACAGAAAUCUCAAAAGCGUAUGAUGUGCCAGGCACUGUUACAGGGACAGGAAUAUGGUGAUGAACAAAUAUGAAGGUAGGUUUAUGUAAUCUUGGUAAUACUCUUAGAAAACCAAAUGCAGAUAUGAACACUACUGUCAAAGAAAUUUAAAUAUUUUCAGUUUUACAUUGAUAAGUAUUUGAUAUUAAUGUAUAGAGUGAUACUGACAAAAAAAGGAAAAGUAAUGUAGAUAUGGGGAGGAGGCAGAAGGAGGAGAAGCAUUAUAAGACAAAGGAUUGUACUAAGAUUUUAAUCAGCUGUGAGGAUCCAACUGUGCUGCUUCAUUCUUAGUUUUCAUAAUGACGCAAAUAUAAAGAAGCUAAGCAAGGUGUUGCAGGCCUAUACUCCCAGCUACUCUGGAGGCUGAGGAAAAAGUUCCAGUUCCACCAGUUCCAGGCAACCCUGGGCAACUUAGCAAGAACCUGUCUCAAAAAACAAAAAAAAUAAAGUGGGGGAAGUAGUUCAGUGCUAAAAGACUUUCUUAAUGACCGGGGCCCUCGUUUCAAUCCCCAGAAAAAAAAAUACAUAUGUUAAUAAUAGAUAUUUCUAAAGAUUUUUACUCUGUAAGCAGAAACUACACUUUUUUUUCUAUGCUUCUAUGGUUUAUGUACAAAAACAGACCAGUGUUACUCCAGAAUAGAAGAAAACGAAUAAUGAAAAUUGCGGAAAUCACAUAUUAUCACAAUUUAAUAUUAUUUAAAAUAAUUUUUCUUUAAAAUACUCCCCAAAUAUUAAAAACGAACAAUAAAAUAAAAGUAAGAUCAAAGAAGAAAACUGUUGGGACAAAUGCGAAACUAAGACCGCAAUCGUUAGCUAUUUAGGAACCUACAGACAUUAAAGUACUAUAUACCUUUUUCUGUUUUCAUAGGUUACAUCUAUCAUAUUAAUUCUAUUAUAAAUUAAAAUGGAUUUUCAAUGAAAAAUCCUUUUCUAAAGCAAAUACAACUAGUGAGGAGAAUACCAUUUUCUUUUCAAUUUGGGGAGUAUCUAUGUCACUCUAAUUGAUAUGCUGUGAUACCUUGUAUUGGUUAGAGUAUAAAAAGAAUAUUCAGGCUCACCUAGAUAUGUAGUUAGAAAAGGAAGGAACAUUUUGAUAAUAUCCUUUCAAAUAGCUGUAAUUAUUCUUCUCUGAUACUCCACCAGAACUCAACUAGUGGAAGGUAUGUAUGUAUGUAUGUAUGUAUGUAUGUAUUCUUGUGGUACUAGAGAUGAUACCCAGGCCCUUGCACAUGCUAGACAAGUGCUCUACACUGAGCUACAUCCACAACCCUUUCUAAAACAUUUUUUGAGAUAAAUCUCACCAUUUUUACAUUGAUAUAUUUCCAAAAGUUCUUGCAGACCUUUCAUGGUGUUUAGUAUUUAUCAUGCUUAAAAGAUACAUUAAAAAAUCAAGUCUUUUUCUCAAGCAUUUAACUGGGCUGCAAUAAAAAAUAAACAAAAAAGCAUUUAUGGGCAAAAGAAUACAAAUUUAAUUGAAUAAGAGAAAUUGUAAAAUCAAGUGAAUCACAGAACUAAAUAUUUUAAUAUAAAUAUGCCUUUAACUUUUAACAAAGAGAAAAGCAAAAUUAUAGCAAUAAUAAUAAUAGAAAAAAAUACAAUAAGCCAAAAUAAUAUAGAAGGUAAUAUUGUUUGAGAAGGUAAUUUUAAUUUUAAUAAUAGCAAAUAUAUUUUGCAUAGGAUGUCAACCCUAAUAACCAAUAACACAUUAAUACUUCAAUUUACCUCAGCAAUUUGUAGAUGACUUCAACAACCAGUUUGCAAUAUUUGACUUUAUCAUUUAACACUAUGUCUUUAAGGUUUUUUUUUAUAUGGUCCAUAUAUACUCUAUAACUAUAUUUCUUAAGAUAUAUUUUUGAGAAAGUCUGAAUUUAUCUUUCCACUAUAUUUUUAAAUCUGAUUAUUGUUGGAUUUAAAGAGUAACAAGAUUCCACCCACACUACAACUUGGGUAUAAAAUGAAAAUAGAUUACCAAUAAUCUUGACAUUAACGAUGAAUUGUGCACCCAAAAUGUGGCAGAAUUAUUUGGCAGAAAAACACAUAUUCAAUCUUCUAUGAAUCUAUUCUGAUCUAUACUGAAUAACAGUCUUUCAAUCUUGCAUUUUUUCCCCUUCCCAUAAUUUCUUUCUAAAUCUUGCCUAGGAAUUUCAAGCCCAGUGGAGAUCCUAUCCUGCCACUAAGCAGACUUUCAAUUACACUUUUGGCUCAGGGAAGCGAAGAUAUUAAAAAGUUGACAUUUUAAAAAGUAGUAUUUGUCAUUAAGUUAUAUGCAUGCUUUUAAAAUUUCUUAUUAAUAUACUUUGGGUGUCAUAUUUUUAAAAUUUUUAUAAAAUGCUUCUUUUAUUUUUUCUCUUAUUUUUGCACAUAUGAUAUGCUUUUCGGAAAUACAUGUUAGCAAGAAAUCUGCAUUUUACUCUUGCUACAUAUGCUCACCCUACCAUUACUGCUUGGAUUUUUGCCUGACUCAUGUUAGGAUAUGCCUCUUCCUCCAAACAUCCCACCUCUUCAACAUGCCUGCUUGUUGUGACCUCAUUCAUCUUAUUAAUAUGAUGAGUGGAGUGGACUUAGAGUAUCUUGGUGGGCUAGACAUUAGGAUGCAGGGUUAUGUCGUGGGAAUAGUAAAGUUGUAUAUCAGACCUAAUUCACAAAGAUUGAACUAGUCCAAGACCCUCUCUAGCUAUGAUGUUAAUGUACAGCUCUUUUCUCUGAUUAUAAAAUUCUAGAAUAGGCAAUAUGGAUCAUAGCAAGAGCAGUAAAAAGAGGCCACUUUGGCUAUUUAUCUUCCAGGACUUCAUCUUGUGAAUGUGCUUUUCUCUUCAUAUGCUGGAAUACAGGACAUUUGCCAAUCAAUACUUGAAGAGGAUCAGCCUAUAACAUAAUUUCCCCAGUGUCUUAGCACCAAUUAUUUUGCUCAUUCAAAAAUGCCUCAAUUUGUAUAUCUAAUUGAGUCUGGUAUUUUGAAAAUAAGAUGAACAUAAUUUUUCACAAAGGAAAGUAAAGAAGUCUAACUAUAAAUACAUUGUGUUCAUAAAGAGUUUAGAAAAUGUCUGAAAUAAAUGGAAAUAUAAAAUGUGUCACAGAAAGUAAAUGUAAUGAAUGUAGGUUUGAAAUACCAAUUGAAAGUAGACUUUUACCCUUGUGCCAGACUAUAAAUAAUAUCCUUAACUAGAAACUCACUACAUACUUAAAAACAUUGCGUAUAUGACCACAUUUAAUCUUGCCAAUAUCCCUAUCAGGUAGUUUCUAUUGGUGCUAUUCAUCUUUUCCUUUUUUCUUUUCUUUUCUUUUUUUCUGUCCUUCUCUCCUCCUCCUCAUUCUCCCUCCCUCUUUCCCCUUUUUCUUUCUCUCUCUCUCUGUCUCUGUCUCUCUUGUGUCUCUUUGUCUCUCUGUCUCUCAACAAGGAAACUAAAAUUUGAAGAGAUAAAGAAAUCUGUCUUUCAUGAUAUAGUUAAUAAAUUUCAGAAUCUAUAUUCAAACCCAGAUUUUGUCCUUGACUCUUAAGUUCUAAAGCAUGAUGUAGUUUUGUGUUGUUAGAUGUUACUUUUGAAACCCAAUUCACAUUAGUUUAAGGAAAAACCAGAAUGACCUAAGAGUUUCAUAAAAGGCAAAGAAAAGAAUGCAGCUGGGCCUCAGGAAAAUCAGAAACUAAUGAAUAAACACUGACCAAACUGGGCUUCCACACCCGUUGACACAAUCUCACCCCCUCCUUCCAUUUAUGUGCUCUAUUCUAUACCAUCUACACCUCAUUGGCUUACUUACUUUUGUUCACAUGGCAGAAAAUUCAGUUAUCCUGAGCUUUGUCUUUUAGUCCAAGUGCCCAAUGCCCAGAAGAAUGUGAUUCACGUUAAAUUCCAAAACCCAUAAGUAAUGGGGAUGCAAAAUGUUGCCCAUAUUUCAUCAUUGCCUAUUUUAUAGCAAUCAUGGAUUCAUUCUCUUAAACCAUGAAUAUUUUGAGAAUGUCCUCUGCUUCACAUUGUUCUCAGUGCUGAAUAUAUACCAGUUAACUAGGAAGAUUUUAUGUUCUAGUGGGGAGACACAGGCAAUAAGUUAAAUAUAUGAUCAAAACCUGAUAAGCAAGUGUCCAUAUAGGAUAAAUUCAUAAAUAAAUUUCAAAUGGUACUACAUUAAAACAAAAAUAUAUAGUAUGUGAAAGGAUAGAGUGUAGGAGGCCAACAUUAGAUAGAGGUAUAAGAGACUAUUUCUCUGAAAUGACAUUCAAAUAGAGAACCAAAUGACAAGAAGAAAGCAGCUAUAAAAAAAUUUUAAAAAGGCUGGUGGAGUAGCUGAGAGAUAGAGUACUCAUGUAGCAUGUGUGUUGGCUUGGGUUCAAUCCUCAAAACUUUAAAAAAAAUCAAGGAAGACCAUGAGGCAGAGAGGAUGAAAGGUUCAUAAGCAAAGAUGUGAGAAUAUUAGACCACUAGGAUGGCUGGGAACUAAUAAGCUAAUGGAGAAAGCUAACACAUGAGUUACAGGAAGAAAGGAACUAAAGUAUGGAAGUCUGUACAAGACAUUUGAAUGUUAUUCAAGAUAAAAAAAAAAAAAGUUAUAGCCAGAGGGAGGAUGCUAUGAUUUGCCCAAGUUCAGCUGGGUGCCCCUUGGGUUAUGUUUUAAUUUGACUGCUGUUGCUGCAGCCAGAGGGCUGUUGAAUGAAAGGAAUAUCUCCUCUUGGGAGGCACGGUUCUGGGCAGAUAAACCAAUGAACAAUUCUGUUCUCUUUGCCAUUCUGUUCAAUCACCUCUGUUUGAAAUCCCCUUAGCAAUCAGUCCCCACAUUCUGUCAAUCAUAUUAGCUACUGUUCUUACAAAGCCAGUUCUAUCCAGAAGGUUAUAUUUUCUACUAGUUUUCAAUGUUUUAAUUUUUCUGAUCUUCUUUAUAAUUUUUAAGGCUGUUUGAAUAUGAUAUGAUAUUAGAGAAUUAUCUCUGGUAUGCUGAUUUAUUGAUUGAUUACCCGCUGGUUAAUACCUACUUGAAUACUGUCUCUUGCCUCUAGGCCUUGGCUUCCAAUUUGGUUUCACUGGGCUUUGUAUUUUAAAAUUUUCUAUCUUCCAAGCUCUGUUAUUUGCCAUGCUUAUUUUCAGCUUUCUUAGAAAAACAUGAUUGGAUCCUGAGGGCGUUUGCUAGAUAUCUGGCAAGAAGCAUCACACAGCUAUAAAAGCAAGUCAAACUAGGGAAAACGGAACAAAAUGGAAAGAGAUGCCAGCAGAAAAGAGAUUCUGGGAGCAAAAAGAAAACUACAGACACAGUAGUCAUAUCAAAAAACAAAGGAAUGGCCCAAAGAGUUAUGAAUUGCUGAAGGAGAAUUAAUGAGAUGGAAAAUUUCUCCAGGAAAAGAGCCAAAUAUAGAUAAAGAAGGACAAAAACAGCAUAAGAAAAAACAAAAUAGGGAAAAUAAAAAGAUGUAAAACCUCAAGUGCAAGGUGAAAGAGUAGAACAAAAGAAUGGAUAAAUUAAGAAAUGGUACACUGCAUUAAAGCAAAUGUAUUGUUUUCUUUAUUCUUAUCUUUAACUGGCUUUGCAUUUCUCUGGUAGCAAAGCCAAACUGAAAGGAUAAUUUUGUUUAUGUACCCAAUUUGCAUAAUUGUGCAAUAUAAAUUACAAUGCUAAUUAAGGACAGCCCUUGGGCUUCUGGAAUUGGGUCAAAGUGGCCUCCUAAGUGCAGGGAGGUUGGGACAUUGGCUCUGUCCCCUUCUCCCACUGCAGGGAAGCCAGGCAAAAAGAAAAGAAGCUCUCUUGACAGUGUGUGAAGUCUUGUCAGAAUUUAUUGCAAACCAAAAACUGUAUGUCUCACUCUCGAACUUGGCUUUCAAAAUCAUCUUUGUGUAAUUCUGACAUGAUGUGCUUAAAAGCCAAAAUUUCUUCUAAAUGUGGCUGCUUAUCUUUUUAUGAAUUUAUUUCCCUCACUUAAAAAAUUUUAUUCAGAGAAUUUAAGCUGUAGAUAAUGGAGCAUGAAGCUAGCAUACAAUAUUUUCUCACUGGACUCUUGCCAGAAUUAUCUCAAACCAGUUCAUGGUAUGCCCUGCUUAGGUUCUUGUGCACCAGGAGGACACAGCAAGCUCAUUUCUGAGCCUUAGUUAAGUCUAUAUCUUUAAAACUAAUUAAAAUAUUGCACUAUAACUAUGUCAAAAAAUAAGACCUAGAGAGUUAAUUCCUUGCACUAUUCAUAGUUUGCAAUUGUAAGGUACAGGGUUCCUAUAACAGGUAGGUUGGCUUUAUCUCUGAGAUCCUGUAGUGAUGAAGCCUGCCAUGUUUACAAUGGAAAAGCCUUAGGAUAAGUCUGUUCUGAAGAAGAUUUUUUUGUAAGCUUUUUGUAGCCAAGCAAAAGUUAUAAGCAAGCUAGAAAGCAGUAGAUCUUAAUCACUCAGGUCAGAGGGAAGACCAAGUGCCCUAUCUAAUCUCACUUUUCCUUCUACCCCACUUUCUUAGAGCAUAGAAGCCACUUUUAAAAAGGAUUUAUUAUCUAUCUAACUUGAACAACAGCAACACAGUUAAGGCUGCUAGUUGUAUGCACCUGAUUUCAAUUUUAAGACACAGAGUAGUAGCUUCCCUUGGAAUAUUAUAGGGGUAACUGGAAAAUAGAUGACCUAGUUUCCAUCAUUUGAUACUUGAUGAUUUCACUUGAGCAAUGUUUCCCAAAAUUUUUCAUGUCUAGAAAUACAAAAAAUAGUAUUUCUAUGUAACCCUGGAGUGCUGCAAGUCUGAAUGUAUAGGUUCACCAAAAUUCCUAAGUUGAAAUUGUUUAAUACUCCAAUGUAAUGGUAUCAGAAUGUGUGUGGGGUGGCUUUGGAAAGUAGUGAGGUCAUGGGGUAGGGCUUUCAUGAAUGUGAUUUGUACCCUUAUAAAAGAUGCUCAAGAAAGCCCUCUUGCCCAUUUCCCAUGUGAAGUUGAAUAAGAAGAUGGCUGUCUAUGAAGAAGCAGGCUCUCUCCAGGUAGUGAAUCUACUGAAAACUUGAUUUUUGGAAUUCUCAUCCUACCAAACUCGGAGAAAUAAAUUUCUAUUUUUUUCUGUUGUCUUUAAGCCAUCUAGUCUAUGAUGUCUUGGGGAAACAGCAUGAAAAAACUAAAACUGAAGUAAACUAGAGAAAUGGAGCUUUAGAGAAGUAUACUCAUGAACAAAGCUCUGAAGCUUUAGUCAACCCAACUCUCCAUUUGCCCUCCUGAACACCAAAAAACAAGAUUCCAUCCUGUGAUUCAUGCAGCAACAGCGUUCAAGUGAUGGCAAAAAUGAAAGUCACAGACAAGUCAGUAUGCGGUACACUGGGCUGAACAUACAGAGUUUAGUGUUUCUUUGGAGGAAUUGUGACAAUAACAUUUGUUCCCUCUGCCCUCCUUCCCCUCCAUUUCCUGUAAAAUCUACCUUUUCCUACUCUCACUUGCUCUCAUACAGUUUGUGUAGAACUGGCCUAUCCCUGGCUCAAAAGCAUGACCUAUUCUGGCCAGAGAGAGUGGGUCAUACCUCCCAGCAAUCUCAGGAAGAAUGGGAAACUUGGUAAAUUAGUAAUAGUAUUUUGAACUUUGAUGCAACCAUGAAUAAAUAUUCCAACUUUUUCCUUGACUAUGAGUAUGCUUCUUGUUUUGCUUGAACUAAUUGAAAUUAAAUAUUAUUUUCAACUGGAAGAGUCCCAAUUGAUAUUUAUUCUAAUUUCCUAAAAUUCAGAUCCAGUAGGUCAGCUUAAAAAUUUCUAUGACUCACCAUUUCCUAUAAAGUCCAAAUCUUUACCUAAUUAUGAGUAACAUAUAGGUUUAACUGUAAUGCAGUUAAUAUGUUCUCUCUCACUGGUUUAUUGAUUAUAGUGUUAGCCAAGAGCGGACAAGGUAGAAUAUUUGAUCUAAUUAUCAUUCUUUUAUUAUCCUUAUCAAACAGACCUCGAGAAAGCAACAGACAUGCGCUUAGAACUUACAUGGCUUUUGGCAGAUUUUCUUUCCCCUUUCAUGCAGUUGUUACAGAGGAUUUGGCAUGUACUUUGUUUAUUAUUGUAAAAGCAUAUUAUUGACAGUGUAGAAAUUUUAGAGAAUACACCUAUUUUGUUUGUACUGAGAGAAAUUAUUGUAGAGAAGUGAAUCUUCAUGUUUUUCUUGGAUCAUUAAUGUUCACAUUAUCAGGGAAAUUGUUAGUGAUGCACAUUUUUGAACCCAACUUCAAACCAACUGAAUCAGGAAAUCUUUAGAUGGCACGCAGAAACCUGUAUUUUAACACAAUUAAAAUCAUCCCAUGAUACAUGAAAAAAUAUUUGAACCAUUAUGGGGCCUUGGGGAAACUAUGCCUCAUAUCCUUUUCUCUGACAUAAAUAAAAUGCUCAGUAAAUUUUAGAUAAUGCUAUAGCUGUUGAAGCAACAUUCUGAGAAACAUGCUUACUUGUAAUAGUCAAGCAAGGUUUAUUUUAAAUUAAGAACUUACCUCUAAAGUCACGUAAAGAUUGAAGUCAGAGAAUUGAAUGAGUGAUUAAAUUCAUACUGAAAAAUGAAAACAAUGGAUAGCUCUUAUAAAUCUUAGAGUAGUAACUUAAACCUAGUAUAACUUCAGUUGACAUAUAUAUAUAGAGAGAGAGAGAGAGAGAGAGUUUUAAGUGUAGUUUUGCAUUCACCAAAAUGCAGAAACAUGUACUAACUUUAGUUAAGAUAAUAUUUAAAUCUCUAUUAUUUUUAAACUGCUGUGUUUUCUUUUUACUGAAAGUUAUUUUUCAGUUCUAAGGGCUUAAUUCUUUUCUAGCCCCAAGGACUCAAAUGUUAACUUCAUGUUUAUAAAUAGAUGAGCCUGAGACAUCUCAUGUCUAGUAGCACGUAUUUUUGUUGGUGAAACAUUUUCUAAAAUUUGUAAGUAACUCAAAGUUUUUGCUCUUGAUGUACAGUAGCCCAAAAAAGGUACACCUUCUCUCUACUGUGGCCAUUGCCUUCUAGGAAGUUUAAAGUGUCCCAAGAGUUUUCUGGAUCUCUAUUUGCAUGCUGUUUGGAUGUAUAGGUUCAGAAUUUUGCUGGUUUUCCAUUUCAUACUCUAAUAUCAUAUAGACUGCACUUGCUCCUUUAUAGUUAUACCAUCAUAUAUCUCUAGACUUGAAAAUUCAGUUAUAUGUUGUAUGCAGGACAGUAUUUGCUUAUUAAAAAUAUUAAAUUCCAGGCACUAAUCUAGGCAUUAAGUUCAUAAUGAUUAUAUGAGUCACUGUGACCAUAAUGAUAAUAUCUAUAAACCAUAAUUUUCCUAUUAGGCAGAAACUGAACUUUAUUUUGUUUCUUUUUAUCUUCAUAGAGAUAUGGGAACAUGCAUAGGUGCACAAGAAAAACUUUUGGAUCAUUAAAGUACAUAGUAUAUUUUUGAGAGAUUUUGAGAAGCCUGAUUAGAGAAGGAAACAUGAAAAGUAUAGGCUUAGGAAGUGGAAGAUUAUUUGUGCUGCAGUGUGUUAUAAAAAGAACUUAGUAGAGGUGCUUGGUUUUUAGGUUAAAUAACAGAGAAAAUAAAUGUCACAGCAGUUACAGAUUGACUGAAAUUAUGUUUCAUACAGUGCACUCCUGCUUGACCUUGUAGAGACUUGUGGGAAGCAUCAAAAAGAGCACUGAAAUCAGGCCUGGAGAAACAUGUUUUGAAGCUUGGCUUUACCACUAUUAGCUGUUUGACUUUAGACAAAUUUAAGUUCAUGAAAUUCAUAUAAACUGGCUCCUUAGAUCUAUCAGGAUAUUGCAAACAUCACCAGAACAGGAUAUUUGAAAGAACUUCAAUACAUUUUUCUAAAUGUUCAAUGUUUUUCUAGCAGAAUAGGAUUGAAUUUGGAGGCAGGCACCUUGAGUUGAAAGACAGUGAUGAAAAUGUGAGUUUUUGGAAGAAGGGAAACCAUGUCCUAAAUUAUGAUCUGUAAGGACUGCCAUAAAAUUUUCUUACCAAAAUCUGGAGUGGGUGUAAAUGGUUUCGAGAAUAUGUAUCUUACAAACUGUGUCACUAUGAACAUGAGUGCACAUAUAUCAUAGCGGUGCAGUUUGUAAUAGCUAAAACUUGGAAACAGCCCAAUUGCCCAUCAAUUGGAGACUGGUAAAGAAAAUGUGUUUUUUCUUUUUUAAAUGGAGUAUUACUCAGCCAUAAAGAACAAGAAACUAGAGACAUUUAUAGCUAAAUGGAUGCACAUUGAGGUCAUCUUCUUAAGUGAAAUGAAUAGAACACACAAGUGUAAAUACUGAAUACUUUCUCUGGUGUGAGAAACUGAAAGUGUAAAUAAGAAUCAAAAUGUAUAAUAGAUAAUGUGAAAUAGGAAGCAAAGGUCCAAAGGGGGAGUGGGAGGUGUAGGAAAAAGGAAAAAAAGGGAAAGGAAUAAAUUUGAGAAAAAAAAAAAGGGAACAAAGUUUGUAAAUAGGGAGGGGGUGGAGGGGUUGAACAGAGGGCAGGAGAAUGGAGAAAAAAUAAGAACCAAAAUAUAUUAUGUAAAGGUAGAAAUUCCCAAUAAUGAAUGUCAGCAUAUUGUAUACCUAAAAUGUUCCAAUAAACUUAAUGAAAAAAGUAUAUGUAUCUUGAUCAUCAAAAGUCUCACUAUACACCUAUAAUUUAAACUGUUAUUGUAUGACACAAUUGAGAUAUAUUAAAUUUCUUUUAUUCUCAAAGACAGUACAGAAAACAAAAGGAAGUUUUAUUUCUCAUAAAACUUAUUUUCUCAUACUCUUCAUAAAAAGUAUAGUAUAUUUUCUGAACAGUGAUUUCCUGGGUUAUAGUUACUUGAUAUUUGUUUUUCUAGGCACAAGGAUAUUGUGAUUGGUUCUACAUUUAUGAAAGUAACAAACUAUGAACAUAGUAUAAUACAUUUUGCUUGAGUGGAAGCAGUAGUAUAAAUAUUUCACUAAAAUUAAAACAAGUAUUUUAGGUUGUAUUCUUAUUAGGUUGUUUUCUUAUUUAUAAAUAGACUUGAUUAUUAUUGAAUAUGUUUCUCAUUGGCAUUUUAAAUUUUAUUAUAUUAUAUGGUGAUGCACCAUAUAAAGAUAUUUUGGUCAAUGAUGGUUCACAGUGGUAUAUUCCAUAUGGCAUAGGUGUGUAAUAGACUAUAUCAUUUAGAUUUGUUCUCUCUAUGAUAUUUACACAACAAAAUUAUCUAGAACAUUUUUUCUUAGAAUUUAUCUAUAAUUAAGCAAUGCAUGAUACCAUUUAAUAUCAUAUAUAAUACAUUUUUAUUUUAUUACAUUUUAGAAAACAUAUUAGAUUGAAAAUCAGAAAACAUAGGAGGUGAUCUUUAAUUCACACAAUCUGUGUAUCAUAUCUUUAUCUUCCUUUCACCUCUUUCUCAGUAUAAUUAUGUAUUCUACUGUCUUACCCUCUAACUUAUGCCUAGGUCUUCCUCCAAUGAGUCAUGCAUUCACAAGCAUAUGGAGGGAGACAUUUAGUCUUAUUCUUUGAUAUCUUUAGCACAGGGACUAGAACAUUGUUGAUGCUUCAUAAAUAUCAAGGCAAAUACAUUCAUUUGAAUUGAAUAUUAGCCUUUGAUCAAUUCAAUAAAAACGGUGCAAAAUUAGUUAAGACUGCCAUCAAAUCUUUUGUAUUUCCUGUCAAAUUAAACAAUAAUUUGAUUCUCAGAGAUUCUUAGUACUUCAUUUACAAACAGAAAUCUGGGAAAUAAUAUGUCUAUUCUUAUAUUCUUCAAAAGAUAUGCUUUUCUUUCAGGGAAUGGAUAUACUAAGAAUAUUCAUAGAAGCUGAAUAUAAGUGACCAAUAUGAUAUAGCCCAAAGGUGUGUGCAAGUUGAAGGGCAGAUAGGAAGAGAUUAUGUCAAGGUAGUAGAUACUGUCUGUGAUAGUUGCUAGCAGAGACAAACACUACCUGAUGCCUUUUCACUAUCCACUUCCCAAGCCAUGCCAAUUAAGUAGAAAUGUGUCCAGCUGAAAACUUGUUUAGUAACCUUUGGUCCAAAUAGAAGUAGGCAUGUGACUCAAUUCUGACCAACAAUAAAAUUGGUGGAGGCUUCCAUGUAAUUUUUAUAGGGGAGAUAAACUUACUGGAAUGGCCUUUUAGUCCUUUUCCCUGCCUCCUGCAUGGAUGCCUGGAGGUGCAAUCAUUGCAAUCAUGAGGAUUAAAACCACAUUUUAUAGUUGGUUUCAGUAAGAGUAGAAAAGAAAUCUGGAUCAUAAGGACAUUCGGCUACAGUACUAAUCCUGAUCUUUCUAUCCAUGGACUUGUUACAUGAGACAAAUAAACCUUUUAUUUAUUUAAUGUACAGUUUGUUGGGCUUUCUCAAAACUAAACACAAUCCUCAUAUAUUUGCCCUUCUGGGAAAAAAGGUAGUACAUGACUUUCAAAAUCUAAUGAGAUUCAUGUAUGACUUAAACCACUCUACUGAAGCAGUUCCAUUUCAGUCCAUGGUGCAAGGCAGUUGCCCUGAAUAACAUAUAGUGUCUAAUAAUUUUGUUUCUUUGUUAGUUUUUCCUGAAGCCUAGGGUCAAAGAGCCCAGAAAAUUGUAAACAUAGAGAUGUAAUCUCUGUGCACAUUGGCUGAUAAAUGCUAUUAUGAUUUGUAUGCCUAGAUUUGGUAAAGAACGAAUAUUCAACAUCUCUACAUAAUAUUGCUUUAAUUAAAUUCUUUUCUCUCUGGCUGUCAUACAUGCCACACAGGCGCAAUCAACGAACAUUGACAAUUUGCUUAAAUCUUACUCUUUGUCCUAUUUGUAUAAUUUAUUGUGUCAGUGUUCCUCAAGUGGUGUGCUCCUGCAACUCAUCAUCUAGAAAUCCUUCCCAGAUGUGCUGAAAUUUUUCAUUAAUUUGUACAAGUAUUGUUUUGUAAUUAAAUACACACGCUUUUGACUGGAAGAGAAAACACCUCUCUUUAAUCCCAGAGAAUUAUUUGGCCUUGAGAAAAAUUGAUUCAUGCCCUUCCCACUUCAUCCUCCUUAUUCAGAUAGAUAUUCCUGAAGCAUUCGCUGCUUUAUAAAUUUACUUGGUCCAAAGAUGAAAAAGAAAAAUCCAUUACUUUAAAGAUUUCUGCAGGAUCUACCUAUAACUCACUUUUUAGUUUCCAAUUAAGAAUAACAUAACUCUAGAGUAGGCUUCAACCCUAAUUUUCCAAACUGGAAUACAAUUUCAAAGCAGGAAGUGACAAUCUCUGUAGUGGUACUUGUCCACAGAGGUGAUAUUUCUGGUUAUUGAAUUUCAAGACUAGAAACUAAGCUUACUAUCUUUUAGCUUGGUAACUGUAAAGAGAGGGUGAGGACUGCUCUGUAUAUUAAUAAAGACUAUCAUAAGCAGCUGAAGAAAUUGGCUUAGCUCUACUUCUUAGUGUCCAUGUUUGUUUGUUUGUUUUUUGGUAUGAAGCAUGGAAUAUAAAACUAAUACUGCAUUUACUACAUUCAUUUGCAGCUAGGUUCCUGAGUGACAUUGGGUUUGGCUGGUUUGAUAACCAGGGUCACAUUUAGAAGGGAAAUGUGAGGCAAAUACCACAUGGUUGACUGAUUCUAUUUAUUUCUAAUGACCUUUACUAGGCACACUUUGUAUAGAAAAUAAUGAGCAUAUUUUAAGUAUAUAGUUUAAUGAGUUCUGACUAAUUUAUUGAUCUAUUUAACCAAUAUCAAUAUCAAUGUGUAUAUUAAUUUCCUUACUCCAUAAUAAAACUUUGUGCUCCUUUCCAGACAACCCCCAAAUCCUGGACCCAGACAACUAUUGAUCUGCUUUGUAUUGCCAUAGAUCAUAUUUUCUUUUCUGAGAGAUUCAAUAAACAGAUUCUUAUAUUAAAUCAUCUUAACUCUGGCUUAUUCCCAUCACCAUGAUAUUUUGAAAUAUAUCAAUACUGUUUGUAUAGUAAGCAAAGAUUUAAGAUGGGCUCAAAAAAUCUUCACUCCUGGUAUAUGUACCUUUUACCUCUUAUCCAACCAAAGUUAAUUUAAAUGAUACUAUGAAAGGAUUUUCAAGGUAUAAUUAAAGUCCUUAAUAAGUUUGCUUUAAGUUAUGUGGAUUUUCCUAGGUGAGCCAGACCUAAGUAGGUGAGCCAUUAGAAAAAUUAGAGCUAUUCAAAGAACAGGAGAAAUUUUGUCACCAACUUUAAAAAGAUAACUUCCAUUUUGUGAUGAAGUCCAUAUGUCAAGUAGGCCUAGGCAGCUUCUAGGAGCUGAGAAUCACCCUAGUUUCAUGGCCAGCUAGCAACCUUCCCUAUAACCUCAGACCUAUAAACAUAAGAAACUGAAUUCUGUUAAAAACCAGUUAGAAAAACCUUGAGCUUUAAUUGAAAUUGAGGCUCUGACCAAUACCUUGAAUUUAACCUGAUGAGGCCUGAAGAGAGAACUCAAUUAUGUUCUUCCAGGUUUCUAUCCUACAGAACCAUGAUUUAAUAAAUGGACAAUAAUUGAAACUUAAUUGCUAACAAGUUGCUAUAAACUCUAGGAAUGUAGUUAAAUAAUUGACAUCCCUCAGCAACUGAGUAUUUUAUUUAUUAAAAAAUAAAUUACUAUAUGGGAGAGAUUACACAAGGCUGUGAAUACCAGGAAGGUGUGAUAUCUAGGGUUUGAUUUUAAAAGCUGUGUAAUUUUGUAGUGAUUUGUUAGGCACCAAUGCAAAAUGAAUAUACUGAAUGUCAUUAGAUUUUUUAUUUUAUUGCUAAAUAUAUUAAUAUUGCUUCCUAACAAACUACUAGCAAUGCAGUAUAUUUUUUAUUAGUAUAUGUUUGCCAUACAUAAUGUUUAACUUCCUUGUGUGAAGUUGGUGCUUGUAAUGGAAUAUAUCUCAAGGGCCAGGGAUUUAGCUUAGUGGUUCUGCCACCUGCCUUGCAAGUUCAAGGUCCCAAGUUCGUAUCUCCGGUACCAAAAAAACAAAAACAAAAAACCCCAGAACAUAUCUUGAUUGUUUUUUCAUCCCUUUUUCCUCCUCUCCCUUCACCUCUCCCUCCAUUGCUUGAUCCCCUUCCCUUUGAAGGGGAUAUUUGUCUCCAUAAUUCCUAUUAUCUGUGUUUUAUUUUGCUCUUUUGUCUCUUUAUUUGAAUUUUGAUUUCUCAUAGGAGAAAAAUCCAAAUAGGUUCCUUUGAGAUCUUAACUAUUUAGGAAAAAAGUUCCUAUUGUUAUACUACUUACACAAGACUUCCAAAAAGGUCCAUUGCAGUGAAAGCCUGGUUGCCAGCUGAUGGGCCUUUGGGGAUUACUUAGAUUGUGAGGGCUCUAACUUCCUCAAAGUAUGAACCAUUGAUGAAAUCAUAAACGGGUGGCAUUAUUGGAAGGCCAUGGGAAUGGAAGGUGGGGGCUAAGUAAAGGGAGGGGAUAAUGGGAGUGUGGCCUUGGGGACUGUAUCUGGUCCAAGGCCCUUUUCUCUUUGAUACUCUCAUCCUAUGUGCUUCCAGGGUAACUCAGGUGAGCAGCUUUCCUCUGCCACACCCUUCUAGUAUAAGGUUUCUGCAUCACUACAAGCAUAAGCAUGAGCUGCCUGGCUAUGGGAUGAAACCUGUGAAACCAUGAGCCAAAGUAACUUUUCCUCCUUUAAAUUGACUCCUCAGGUAUUUUGUCAGUCACCAAAAGCUAACAUAGCUAUGAACAUGUAAGUACUACAUUUUGUAUAAGCAUAUAUUUUAUUUAUUUUGAGUAGAAAUGCAAUGCCAUAUAGAAAAUGUUUAAUCUUAUAUAACAAACUUCUUUAAUUGUUUUCCAAGUGCUUGCUCCAUUUCACACACCCAACAAUGUGAAAAAUGUAUUACAAUUUCAGUUUUUCUACAUUUUCACAAAUAUUUGAUAUUAUUGGAAAACUUAACUGUAAACAUAUAAAUGAGUGUACAGUGGUGCUAAUGAUAAAUAUACAUUUAAUUCACACUUAGCAGGAGCUAAUUAUGUUAAGCAUCUUCUCAUAUGCUUAGAGGGCAUUUAUAUACUUUCUUUUGAGAAAUACCUGUUUAAGAUUACCCAUUCAAAUUCUUUUACUUUUUAUUAUAG
ensembl:lncRNA